AUCUUUCUAGUAUAAAGAAUACAUGUGACUUCCACUCACCCAAUUUUGGUUCAAGUCCAAAGAAAGAUA
rnacentral:tRNA from 1 species